rnacentral:rRNA from 1 species
AUUGAACGCUGGCGGCAUGCCUUACACAUGCAAGUCGAACGGUAACGCGGGGCAACCUGGCGACGAGUGGCGAACGGGUGAGUAAUGUAUCGGAACGUGCCCAGUAGUGGGGGAUAGCCCGGCGAAAGCCGGAUUAAUACCGCAUACGACCUACGGGUGAAAGAGGGGAUCGCAAGACCUCUCGCUAUUGGAGCGGCCGAUAUCAGAUUAGGUAGUUGGUGGGGUAAAAGCCUACCAAGCCGACGAUCUGUAGCUGGUCUGAGAGCACGACCAGUCACACGGGCACUGAGACACGGGCCCGACUCCUACGGGAGGCAGCAGUAAGGAAUAUUGGUCAAUGGACGCAAGUCUGAACCAGCCAUGCCGCGUGGA